CUCUUAGUCCUUUUGAAGUGAAAUUAAAUAUUAUUUGAUAUCAAACAAAUUCAUAAAUACAACAAAAGAUUACAACAGGUUUUUUGUAUAUGUUCAUCCCGAGUUUUACUGAAUAAUUACAAAUUAGUGUUUAUAAAGAUAAUGUGUUGAAUUAAAGUAAGUCUAUGUAUGUUUUGAAAAUAUCAUAUAGUUUUACUGCUUUUUGUCAUGUGUUUCUUCGUCCACUUCGCUGUGGUUUUUGUAUUUCAUUCAUUUGGGACAUGAUGUUUUCUGUGUAGUAUCUGUGAAAUGGAUAGAUGUUGGUUAAGUGUUGGCUAUAAAUAAAAAGCUAUAUUUUAGUCAUACCUGGAUGUUCUAAUUGGAGGCAUUUUCCUGUUUCACAUGAUUUAGUAGGGGUGAAGGACUCCAUAUUUGUAGUGGUUUGUUGGUCCAUUGUUGUCGAAGGUGUAGUUGGUGGUCUUCUAGUUGAAUUGAUAGUUGGUUGUGGACUUUUUAUAUCAUUGGUUGUGGUGACUAUGAAACGGAUAUUUUUAGUUGAUGGAAGUUUUGUGCAUUGUACAAAAACAUUCUUUGUCAACCCUUUAAAACGUUGCAGUGGUUCCGGUAAAGUCAGUGGUCAAAAUUACACACACUGGAACAAUUCCCACAAUCAUAAUAAACAUGCAAACUUGGUGUCUCUUCUAAAAGUGAACUCUUGCAUGAACGACGGGGGACUAUCGUAUUGGAAGUAGAAGCCAUUUGUCGUCGUUUUGGAGGCAUCACAAGAAGGCAUUUACUGAAAUGGAAAUCCAAAUUUCAUUGACUUGUAACAUACUUUUUAUGUAAUUCAUAUGGAACAUUAGAUUCUAAAAAGGUGUAGUUGAAAGUAACUAUUAUGAUUAGUAACUAACUUAUGGAGUAUAUAUUAAAUAACAUUUGGAAGAGAUUAAUAACAUACUCUAUUAUUGUUUUAACCCAUGGAUUCAUUGAACAUCAAAGAUAAGAAAUAUAUUUGCAACAACAAAAUUAGUCAUUAAUCAACUGAUAAUGGUAUAUAUUCAACUAAAGCUUGUAAAUAGGAUAAAAUUGAAAAAAUGACCAUUCUAUUAAAAUUUAUGCCUAAAGGACCAUUAUUGUAAUUGAGUAUUGAUUUAGGACCAAAUUAGUAAACUUAUGUACACAAAACAUAUUCAGUGAAAGGGUUAAAGACAACUUACCAAAUUUCUAAAGAUCCAAGGUAGAAUUGAAUAUUAGAUUCCUUAUCACAAAAUGUUUAUAAUUUUUAUAUUAACAUAAAUUCAUGAGAAACCAAAGGGUGUUAAAAUGUCUAACUUGCAGAGGCAAUGAAGAAAGAGAGAAAAAUUGAAAUUGAAUAUGGACAGAAAUCAAUAUCAAAUACAAAGGAUAGACAACAUACCUAGAAAUUCAAAUUGUAAUUGAGUGUAGUCGGUUGAAGGCGGAUACAAAGCAGAACCGUUUGUUGGCGACAAAAACGUCAAACCUAGAAUGAAAACUUAAACGUAUUGAGUUGGAAAUGAAGAAAUUUAUAUGAAAAUGGAACAGAAAAUCAAUAUGAUAUAAUUGCGAUAUAGUAUAGACGAGGUAGGCGUCUAGGAGUAUGACUAAAGAAGUAUUUCAAAAAUCAGUAAUAUUUAAAGAGAAAAUUUUAAAUUGACAUACCUUAUUAAUUGGAAUUGUUGGAUUCCUAGUUGUAAGUGCUCGAAGAUAAAGACGGUGGAAACGUCAAACACAGAUUUUGUAAUCAAAGAAAGAACGAAUUAAUAUGAUGGUGUUGGGAAUUUGCACAUAUUCACAAAGAUUAGAGAAAGUUGUUAUGUAUUGAAAGCAAGAAAGAGUUCACAAUUGACAUACCUUAUGAGUCGUAAUUGUUUGAGUCCAAAUUCUAAGUGCUUGGAGAAAAAGAUGGUGGUUGAGAGGCUCUGAAACGAAGUAGGACUAAUUAAUUUUAAACUAAAACAUGAAUAAAGUUCAAAUUUAGCACUAACUUUAUGAUGAACUCAACUAAAAACAUAGAAAGAAAAAUGAUACAUUUUACAAAUUAUAAAAAUAUAAACAAAAACAAUAGAAGGAACAAACACAAAAAGACGACACAAAAAAAGAUGUAAACAAAAAAUCAAAAUCAAAUAAAAACAUUAUAUGACCUACCGAAAUUCAAAAAUACAACAAAGAGCACAUGCUGUUUGUGGUGGUAAUUGAGCACCGACGGUCAAACCCACAAAGUCGAAGACAUCGCUCAAAAACACGGAAGGAUUAGAAGGAAUAGCAAUUGAAUUGAAAAUCACAAUAUAAUUGAUACAUUAUACGACAUACCAUAAUUCGUCAUAGAAACAAAUAGAAAUUCGUAGCCUUCAACAUACCAGAAUUUGUCACAGCAAUAGAUAGAUAUUCCUAGUCUCCUUAUAUCAUUAAUGAAAAUCCUGAAAUAAGAUUUCAGAAUUCCAGUUACCAAAUAUUAGAGUAAACAUAAAAAGUUAAAGGGGUUAUUUUGUCAUUAUUAAAGUGUUUUUAACACAUUUGACUAAUAUACAAAGAAUAAGUACUCAAUUAGAAAAUUAUUCUUCAUGAUGCAAGAAAUAUUAUGUUUUUCUUUUAUUCAACUUUUGUCGCUAACAUACAACACAAUACAAAAAAAAAAUGGUUCACUAUGGGAUUUCCAGGGUAUUUGUUGACUCACCUUCUUUUAUAAUGUCAAAAUUAGCAUUCUUUAUGAUAAAUGACCAAUGAUUCCAUCUACUAUUGUAAAAGCUUUAGUCUUUUUGAUAAAUAACCAAUAAUAUAUGGGUGGUGAGUCCUAGAUUAUACAAAUUCUUAUUUAGGGUGCAUUCUUUUGAACGCUUUUGGAAGUUUCUUCAGAUAACCGUAUCAGGGUUUUUUUUUUCAGUUUAUGGUUGUUUUACAACUUACUUUAGUUGUCAUUUGACCUUUUUGCCCCUGUGAGGCUGUGGCUUACCUGGUUUUUGUUCCAAUCUUGAUUGCAGUAUACACCUGCUGUUGAUACACUUAGAUGCAAGCCAAGUUAACUACACCAGAGAUUAAGAUAAUGACUAUUUGUAUAGAAAUUUUACUUUGUGGUGAAAAGAGUCGUUUUGUAUUUUUUUUUUUGGAAAUUGGCCAUUAACUGUUACUGUGUGUGGGUGUUUCGGGCUAAGAUAUUGAUUUAUCUGUUUGUGUAUUUUAUCCCUUCUUUCAUAGUUCUUUUUGUUGAAAAGAGUCGUUUUUUUGUUUAUAUGCAAUCAUUUUUUUUCUUUAACAUAUAGUAAUAAAUACAAUUAGUUAAACACGUUAAGCAUGCCUUUAGUCGUAUUAUGUAUCCAAUUGUAUCGAAUCAAAUCAUCCUAAUAUUACAUUAAACGCUUUUGGUCUUAAAUGAGUCAGAGGAAACUUUUGUUUAUACUUGAAUGAGUGAAUUAUUUGAGACUAAAAUCUGAUGGAAUGGCGUUUUAACAUUGAAAAGAAUUUGCUCUUCUUUUCUUCACAUGAAUUGAUGAUCAACAGCAUUUGUAUGAGAGUGUUUUGAAAUGAGAGCAUAGAUUCUUGUCAUUACAAUUUGUAAAACCUCUCUUAAUCAUUACAUAAAUAAUUUGAAAUAGCUUCGAGUUAUUGACUCUUUGUUGGAUUCACAACUUUAGGGUUAGUUGGGGUGACAAAUUAUGUUCAUUCUUACGAUGUUCUGACCAGGAAAUGGACCAGGUAGUUCUAAUUCGUUCUUAUAUUUGACUUAACUUUUCUAGAAGUCAAUGCUAAUGCUUUUUUUUUCAGAAUUCGACAAGCUGGAGAACCACCUUCACCCAGGGUUGCUCAUGCAGCUGCUGUUGUUGGAACAAUGGUUGUAUUUCAGGUAACCAUAAUUAUGAACUAAAGUGAAAAAAGGAGAUCUUUUAGCCAUUUAUCUGAUUUUUGGUUUUUGAUAAACCGAUUGUGCAUGAUUAGGGCGGCAUUGGUUGAUAAAAUAAUAAAUAUUAAGAUUCUUUCUCCAUUUCGAGGAGGUGUCUCGCAUGUGUGGACUUCCCUUUAACUUUUACUUAAUUAAGUAAUUAAGCUAUAUAGACUAUUACUAAGUUGAUAACAUCUAGGUUUUGGAACAAUUAUAUAUAUAAAAGCCUUUAUCGUUCUAUUCCUCAUGUCCUUGAUCCAUGAUCUUUGUUUGUUUUCUAAACAACUAUUUCUAUAACUUAACUUUUACAAUACUGUUAAAUUGAACUAAUAAAUUAACAAAAUAGAAGGUUAUAUAAUAAUGCAACUUUUGACAUUGUUGUUGUUUUUAUAUGUAGGAUCCUAAACAUGGACACUGGUGGCUACAAUUUGGAUCAGGGGUGCUAAUAGGAUAUUGGCCAUCUUUUUUUAUUCAGUCAUCUACAAAAAGAAGCAAGUAUGAUACAAUUUGGAGGGGAGAUAGUGAACACAAGAUCAGGGGGUAUCACACAUCAACUCAAAUUGGAAGUGGCCAUUUUGCAGAUGAAGGUUUUGGAAAAGCUUCAUACUUUAGGAAUUUACAGGUUGUUGAUUGGGACAACAGUUUGCUUCCUUUAACAAAUCUCCAUGUAUUAACUGAUAAUCCAAAUUGUUACAAUAUAAAAGCCGGAAAAAAUAAUGUUUGGGCGAAUUGUAUUUAUGAUGGAGGUCCAGGAAGGAAAGGAGGUUGUCAAUAGAGAAAAUUGCAUAGUAGUAACAAUAUUUUUAUUUACAUUAUUAAUUCUUUCCCUCUAGAGGAUUUUUGGAAUUUUUUGUCUAAAAAAGAUCCCUUUUUAAGUUUUAUUUGUAGUAGGUUGCCAUAAUUAAGCCAUGUUAAUGAGGGCUCUUGUAUAUUAGCGUUAGGGGUAGUAACUGAUUUUAUAAUGUAUUAUGGUUUGUAUUUCGUAAUGUGGUGAUUUGAUUUUUCAUUAUAACAGCAAACAAUAACCUAACAACAAAAUAAAUAGCCUACCUUGACAACAUAUAUAGGUGGAACUUUUGCACUUUAUUCUUCAAUAUGCGGACAUGCUAAAGUAAGCCUUUUACCAAAUCAACAAACUGCUGAUGAAUCACUGUGUACAUAUAAAUUCAAGCAAUCUAAUGAUGGGAAAUAUUGUCUAGAGGGUUUCGUAACUUUAAUUUCACAGAGUAGGAAAGACAAUCAAAAUCAUAUGACGGAGAACAUACCAAGAAUUGAAAUUGCAAUUGAGUGUAGAUUAUUGGAGGCGGCAACAGAAGGCGUCGUCGGAGAUGUCAAACCCAUAUUUGAAAUCCUAAUUUAUUGAUAGAGAAGCCGUAGGAGAUCUCAAAUCCACACAGUCGGAAAACAGAAAAAGAAGAGGAGUCUGAAGAUUUUGGAGAAACGUAUAAAAACGAUGAUGGAGGAAUAUUCUCUAGACGAUUUCAUAACUUCAAUUUCACAGAGUCGGAAUAUAAGAAAAAAGCAAAUUCGAGAUUGAAACAAAAUCAAUAUCGAAUAGAACAAAACAUACCCAGACAUCAAAUUUCAAUUGAUUGUGGAUGGUUGGAGGCAGCAACAACCGUUUUUUGGCAAGAAAUUGAAACUUAGACAGAAAAUCAAAAUCGAAUAGAAGAAAACAUACCCAGACUUCAAAUUUCAACUGAUUGUAGAUGGUUGGAGGCAGCAACAACCGUUUUUUGGCAAGAGAAGUUGAAAUUCUAAGUUCUUGAUUGAUAAGGUGUAUGAGAUGUCAAACCCAUAAUUCAAAUUCGGAAUUGUUGAUUGAGAAGCGUAUUCAGAAUUCUUGAUUGAGAAGCGUAUGAGAUGUCAAGAAGAGAAGUCUGAAGAAAUGGUAGAAACUUAUGGAAGCGAUCAUGGGGGUAAAAUUUUAAAAGUGUUGAUUGUUAUGGAGAAUUUGGAGAAACCUAAUGUGGCGAAACUCUAAAC
rnacentral:lncRNA from 1 species